rnacentral:misc_RNA from 1 species
GAUGAAGAACGUAGCGAAAUGCGAUACUUGGUGUGAAUUGCAGAAUCCCGUGAACCAUCGAGUCUUUGAACGCAAGUUGCGCCCGAAGCCAUCAGGUUGAGGGCACGUCUGCCUGGGCGUCACAUAUCGUUGCCCAAUGCCUAUUGCAGUGCAAUAGGAAUUUCUAGGGCGAAUGAUGGCUUCCCGUGAGCGUUGUUGCCUCGCGGUUGGUUGAAAAUCGAGUCCUUGGUAGGAUGUGCCAUGGUAGAUGGUGGUCGAGUUAGAACGAUACCGAUCAUGUGCAUGCUCCCCAAAAUAUGGCCUCUAUGACCCACACGCGUCUUUUGACGCUCAUGACGAGACCUCAGGUCAGGCGGGGCUACCCGCUGAAUUUAAGCAUAUCAAUAAGCGGAGGA